UACGUAGGGGGCAAGCGUUGUCCGGAAUUAUUGGGCGUAAAGAGCGCGUAGGCGGUCCGAUAAGUCGGCUGUGAAAGUCCAGGGCUCAACCCUGGAAAGCCGGCCGAUACUGUCGGACUAGAGUCCGGAAGAGGCAAGUGGAAUUCCCGGUGUAGCGGUGAAAUGCGCAGAUAUCGGGAGGAACACCAAUUGCGAAGGCAGCUUGCUGGGACGGUACUGGACGCUGAGGCGCGAAAGCGUGGGGAGCAAACAGGG
rnacentral:rRNA from 1 species